AACGAACGCUGGCGGCAUGCCUAACACAUGCAAGUCGAACGAGACCUUCGGGUCUAGUGGCGCACGGGUGCGUAACGCGUGGGAACCUGCCCUUAGGUUCGGAAUAACUCCCCGAAAGGGGUGCUAAUACCGGAUAAUGUCUUCGGACCAAAGAUUUAUCGCCUUUGGAUGGGCCCGCGUUGGAUUAGCUAGUUGGUAGGGUAAAAGCCUACCAAGGCGACGAUACAUAGCUGGUCUGAGAGGAUGAUCAGCCACACUGGGACUGAGACACGGCCCAGACUCCUACGGGAGGCAGCAGUGGGGAAUAUUGGACAAUGGGCGAAAGCCUGAUCCAGCAAUGCCGCGUGAGUGAUGAAGGCCUUAGGGUUGUAAAGCUCUUUUACCCGGGAUGAUAAUGACAGUACCGGGAGAAUAAGCUCCGGCUAACUCCGU
rnacentral:rRNA from 1 species